GGGCGUAUAGCUCAGUAGUAGAGAGCAUGCUUAGCAUGCAUGUGGUCCUGGGUUCAACUCUCAGUGCCUGCA
rnacentral:tRNA from 1 species